UACGUAGGAGGCGAGCGUUGUCCGGAUUUACUGGGCGUAAAGCGCGCGCAGGCGGCACACUAAGUACGAUGUGAAAUCUCCCUGCUCAACGGGGAGGGUGCAUAGUAAACUGGUGAGCUAGAGGACGGUAGAGGGGGGUGGAAUUGCCGGUGUAGCGGUGAAAUGCGUAGAGAUCAGCAGGAACACCCGUGGCGAAGGCGGCCCCCUGGGCCGAACCUGACGCUGAGGCGCGAAGGCUAGGGGAGCGAACGGG
rnacentral:rRNA from 1 species